UACGUAGGGGGCUAGCGUUGUCCGGAUUUAUUGGGCGUAAAGAGCGUGUAGGCGGCCAGGUAGGUCUGCUGUGAAAACUCGAGGCUCAACCUCGAGACGUCGGCGGAAACCAUCUGGCUAGAGUCCGGAAGAGGAGAGUGGAAUUCCUGGUGUAGCGGCGAAAUGCGUAGAUAUCGUGAGGAAGACCAGUUGCGAAAGCGGGUCUCUGGGCAAUUCCUGACGCUGAGGCACGAAGGCUAGGGGAGCAAACGGG
rnacentral:rRNA from 1 species